rnacentral:rRNA from 1 species
GUGGGGAAUCUUCCGCAAUGGACGAAAGUCUGACGGAGCAACGCCGCGUGAGUGAUGAAGGUCUUCGGAUUGUAAAGCUCUGUUAAUCGGGACGAAAGAGCCUAGUGUGAAUAAUGCUAGGAAGUGACGGUACCGGAAUAGAAAGCCACGGCUAACUACGUGCCAGCAGCCGCGGUAAUACGUAGGUGGCAAGCGUUGUCCGGAAUUAUUGGGCGUAAAGCGCGCGCAGGCGGAUCUGCCAGUCUGUCUUAAAAGUUCGGGGCUUAACCCCGUGAUGGGAUGGAAACUACAGAUCUAGAGUAUCGGAGAGGAAAGUGGAAUUCCUAGUGUAGCGGUGAAAUGCGUAGAUAUUAGGAAGAACACCAGUGGCGAAGGCGACUUUCUGGACGAAAACUGACGCUGAGGCGCGAAAGCCAGGGGAGCGAACGGGAUUAGAAACCCGGGUAGACC